CAUUUUACCUUUAUAAUCUCCAUUUUCCUAUGCAUCACCUCUGUCUCCUCUCUAUCUAGAGGCAGUUAGUCCUUUGUCCUCCAUGGAAAAGUUUCUGGGAACCUGAUGUCAAAUGUCACCUGUGCAUACUUCCCUGAGAAGUGGAAUCUGGCUGCAGUGCAACACCAAGAGAAGUGGCAUCUGUAGGUAUCUGGAUCCUCCCUUGUCAGCAGCUCUAAGCACUGACUUGCAAUGGCUGCCUGCCUCAGUUUGCCUACCAUAUGGAUGCCCAAGCUGGUCUGUGGCAACAGAGGACAAUGAAACAACAUCAACAUAGAACUUUCCACAAUGGAAACUUCUUAAUGACUGAAGAAGGGGCCGG